UACGUAGGGUGCGAGCGUUAAUCGGAAUUACUGGGCGUAAAGCGUGCGCAGGCGGUGAUGUAAGACAGAUGUGAAAUCCCCGGGCUCAACCUGGGAACUGCAUUUGUGACUGCAUCGCUGGAGUGCGGCAGAGGGGGAUGGAAUUCCGCGUGUAGCAGUGAAAUGCGUGGAUAUGCGGAGGAACACCGAUGGCGAAGGCAAUCCCCUGGGCCUGCACUGACGCUCAUGCACGAAAGCGUGGGGAGCAAACAGG
rnacentral:rRNA from 1 species